rnacentral:rRNA from 1 species
GACGAACGCUGGCGGCGUGCCUAAUACAUGCAAGUAGAACGCUGAAGGAGGAGCUUGCUUCUCUGGAUGAGUUGCGAACGGGUGAGUAACGCGUAGGUAACCUGCCUGGUAGCGGGGGAUAACUAUUGGAAACGAUAGCUAAUACCGCAUAAGAGUAGAUGUUGCAUGACAUUUGCUUAAAAGGUGCAAUUGCAUCACUACCAGAUGGACCUGCGUUGUAUUAGCUAGUUGGUGGGGUAACGGCUCACCAAGGCGACGAUACAUAGCCGACCUGAGAGGGUGAUCGGCCACACUGGGACUGAGACACGGCCCAGACUCCUACGGGAGGCAGCAGUAGGGAAUCUUCGGCAAUGGACGGAAGUCUGACCGAGCAACGCCGCGUGAGUGAAGAAGGUUUUCGGAUCGUAAAGCUCUGUUGUAAGAGAAGAACGAGUGUGAGAGUGGAAAGUUCACACUGGGACGGUAUCUUACCAGAAAGGGACGGCUAACUACGU